AGGGCAGGUAGGCGGCCAUGUAAGUCCGUUGUGAAAGCCAGGACUCAACCCUGGAAUUGCAAUGGAAACUCCAUGGCUCGAGGAUCGGAGAGGUCAGGCGAAUUCCCGGUGUAAGGGUGAAAUCUGUAGAUAUCGGGAGGAAUACCAACGGCGAAGGCACCUGACUGGCCGAUUUCUGACGCUGAACUGCGAAAGCCGGGGGAGCAAACAGGAUUAGAUACCCUGGUAGUCCCGGCCGUAAACGAUGCAGACCAGGUGUCGGGGGAGUCGAUCCUCUCGGUGCCGCAGUUAACACACUAAGUCUGCCACCUGGGGAGUACGGUCGCAAGACUGAAACUCAAAGGAAUUGACGGGGACCCGCACAAGCGGUGGAGCAUGUGGUUUAAUUCGAGGCUACGCGAGGAACCUUACCUGGGUUUGACAUGCCAGAGGUAGUCCUGAUGAAAGUCGGGGCGACCGUAUCCAAUCGGAAUCUGGCACAGGUGCUGCAUGGCUGUCGUCAGCUCGUGCUGUGAAGUGUUGGGUUAAGUCCCGCAACGAGCGCAACCAUUGCCCUUAGUUGCCAGCGGGUAAUGCCGGGGACUCUAGGGGGACUGCCGGUGACAAACCGGAGGAAGGUGGAGAUGACGUCAAGUCAGCAUGGCCCUUACGCCCAGGGCGACACACGUGCUACAAUGGCCGGUACAAUGGGCUGCAAUCCCGCGAGGGUGAGCCAAUCCCAAAAAACCGGCCUCAGUUCGGAUUGCAGGCUGCAAUUCGCCUGCAUGAA
rnacentral:rRNA from 1 species